rnacentral:rRNA from 1 species
ACGGGGCCCGCACAAGCGGAGGAGCAUGUGGUUAAUUCGAUGAUACGCGAGGAACCUUACCUGGGCUCGAACGUAAGAUGACUGUAGGUGAAAGCUUACAUCUCUUCGGAGCAUUUUACGAGGUGCUGCAUGGUUGUCGCCAGCUCGUGCCGUGAGGUGUCGGGUUAAGUCCCAUAACGAGCGCAACCCCUACCUUUAGUUGCCAUCAGGUAAUGCUGGGGACUCUAAAGGAACUGCCUACGCAAGUAGUGAGGAAGGCGGGGAUGACGUCAAAUCAGCACGGCCCUUACGUCCAGGGCUACACACGUGCUACAAUGGCCGAUACAGAGGGCAGCUACCUGGUGACAGGAUGCAAAUCUCCAAAGUCGGUCUCAGUUCGGAUCGGAGUCUGCAACCCGACUCCGUGAAGUUGGAUUCGCUAGUAAUCGCGCAUCAGCCAUGGCGCGGUGAAUACGUUCCCGGGCCUU